CUACGGGGGGCAGCAGUGAGGAAUAUUGCACAAUGGGGGGAACCCUGAUGCAGCAACGCCGCGCGGAGGAUGACGCAUUUCGGUGUGUAAACUCCUUUUAUAUGUCAAGAAAAUGACGGUAGCAUAUGAAUAAGCACCGGCUAACUCCGUGCCAGCAGCCGCGGUAACACGGAGGGUGCAAGCGUUACUCGGAAUCACUGGGCGUAAAGGACGCGUAGGCGGGUUGGAAAGUCAGGUGUGAAAUCCUACAGCUUAACUGUAGAACUGCACUUGAAACUUCUAAGCUAGAGUAUGGGAGGGGGAGAUGGAAUUAGUGGUGUAGGGGUAAAAUCCGUAGAUAUCACUAGGAAUACCUAAAGCGAAGGCGAUCUCCUGGAACAUUACUGACGCUAAGGCGUGAAAGCGUGGGGAGCAAACAGGAUUAGAUACCCGGGUAGUC
rnacentral:rRNA from 1 species